AAUGAACGCUGGCGGCAGGCCUAACACAUGCAAGUCGAACGGAUCCUUCGGGAUUAGUGGCGGACGGGUGAGUAACGCGUGGGAACAUACCCUUUGGUACGGAAUAGCCUCGGGAAACUGGGAGUAAUACCGUAUGUGGUCGAGAGACGAAAGAUUUAUCGCCAAAGGAUUGGCCCGCGUUGGAUUAGGUAGUUGGUGGGGAUAAUGGCCUACCAAGCCGACGAUCCAUAGCUGGUUUGAGAGGAUGAUCAGCCACACUGGGACUGAGACACGGCCAAGACUCGUCCGGGAGGCAGAAGGGGGGAUUCUUAGAAAAGGGGCGGAAGCCUGAUCCAGCAAUGCCGGGUGGGGAAAAAAGGCUGGAGGGUUGAAAAUAUCUUUAAGGGGGAAAGAUAAGGACGGUACAACCAAAAGAGGCCCCGCCAAACUCCGGGCAGGCACCCCCCGUAA
rnacentral:rRNA from 1 species